AGAGGACCAUGCGCUCCACCAGCUUUCUCACUAGAAAUCGUAUGUUCUCUUCUCAAACCAGCUUUGUAAUCAGUAUAUUGAUUCAUCCCCUUGUACAAUUUCUCAUCCCCACCAGCCUUACUUUUUCCUUUCAAGGCCUCCUCUGCCUGCUUCAAAGCUCUCUCCCGAAUGGCCCGGGCAUCCUUAGAGAACUCGGUUUCAGUUUCUAAGGUAGCUCUUGCUUUUUCCUUUCAAAGCCUCCUCUGCCUGCUUCAAAGCUCUCUCCCGAAUGGCCCGGGCAUCCUUAGAGAACUCGGUCUCAGUUUCUAAAGUGGCUGUUGCUCUACUAUCAGUUUGAACUUGAAUUUCUUU
rnacentral:lncRNA from 1 species